rnacentral:lncRNA from 13 species
CAAGUACAUACUGCAGAUCAUCAAAAGCCGGCACCAAUCUGGCUAAUGUACAUCUGAUACUCUCCGAAAGUUAAACAAGCCAUUUAGGAAAAUGGGAUUGAGUUAUGACAAGCUGAACAGAAGCCCUGAAAGGUCGUGGGCUCAUUUCUUCAUUUAUGUGGACAUUCCAGGAAGGUCCAUCCUGCCUAUCAUCACAUGUCCAGUGCAUAAGACUGUUCCUGACACAUACUAGACACUCCGUCAAUGUCUCUGGACUGAACAAAUGGUGAGAUUUGAUGCCAAAUGGAGUAGGAAAAAACUGCAACCCCAGCCGUCCCCAAAAGGGCGAACAUCUUAAAUCCAUAAGUCAUGCCAACUUUGAAGACACCGUUCACAUUGUUCUACACGCCUGAAUGCAUUUCACCCUUAGAAACUCCAAGUAGAGGAAAAAGAAAUUCAGGAGAUUACGUGACUAAAUUAUCUAGGGAUGAUCAUGAGCUACUUUCACUUGUGAGUAGAGGCAACAUGUCCCUCAUCUAGAUGCUCCUCUUCCAGCAUGUGUUGGGUUGGGUUGUGGGGAGGUCUUUGUGUGAAGUUCCUGGACUUAAAGAAGGCAGAGUAGCUCCCAGGUAAACAGAACCUGCUUGGAAACAGGUCUCGUCUCUCA